ensembl:lncRNA
CCUGGGAGAGGCUGGAGGCCGGUGGACUCAGGAAGCUCACUCUUUGGGUGAGGGCAAACAGCCUCCUGGAUUCUCCUCUGGGCCAGGAGCCAGCGAGAGUGAAGGUGCCAGGCCCUGGUUUGUUUCAGAAUUUUCAAUUGCGUGGAGUAAAUGCUUUCCACCACAGGUUAUAUGUUUGGCUGUUGCUUGUGAUGAUUCAAACUGAGAGCAACACAUUUCCCACACCUGCAAGUGGGUCACGUAAGAGUUACAGGGAACAAACACCUCAAGAGUCCAUUAACGCUGAGCUGAGAACUGAGGUUUAAAUACUGCAAGGUGGAAAUGAGACACAGACAUCGCAGGAAGAAAUUUAUAACAUAUGCAGCCCUCCAUGACCCGCUACAGGGAGCGUUGAUUACUCCAUGUAGAAAGAGUGUAUUUGUGAGUCCAGAGCGGCUCCCAGGUCUUGACCAUCCUCACAGGAACAGUCUAGAAAUAAAAGCAACACUGAUACAAAACCUUCUUCUUUGUUAGCACAAGAUCUAGGAGAUUGUUUCUUAUCAACACAUAUUUUUUUUUUUUUACCCUGAAGCUUACAUUACCAAAGUGAUAAAAGAAAAGUUACUAUCAGCUGCAGUUUAUUCAGGGCAGAAUUUUAAAAAUCAUUUAUUCAUGAAUCUGGAAUGGAUUCCCUCUCCUCCAACCCCUACACGCAUGAUGACAAGAGGAAAAGAUGGCAAACAAUGGUGUCCAGUCUUAUUACACAGUGAGGAUACGAUUCUCAAGUCAGUCUACUGAUCACAACAAAGAGGACACUACCAUCAAUGAACUCAACACGACCACGUUUAAGAAGUUCAUCAAAAUCGGGUCUUUCUUAUGAAAGAGGAUUUGGAGUACAACCUCAGACAAGAAUCACAGCACAGUUCUCUCUUACAAUGUCUAUUUCACCGCACUCUGCCUACAGAGAGGAGCUAGCUAGUCAAGUUCAGAGUUCACUGGGGGGGUUGCCUUGCAAGUUUCAACCUCAGGCUCUUAGUCUCCUGGAGGUCAGAUCAGCUAAUAUAGAUGUGUAUGUGUGUGUGUGUGUGUGUGUGUGUGUGUGAUCAGCUAAUGUCCAGAUGUGUGUGUAUGUGUGUGUGUGUGUGAUCAGCUAAUGUCCAGAUGUGUGUGUGUGUGUGUGUGAUCAGCUAAUGUCCAGAAGUGUGUGUGUGUCAGAGAUCAGCUACUGUCCAGAAGUGUGUGUGUGUGUGUGUCAGAGAUCAGCUAAUGUCCAGAAGUGUGUGUGUGAGAUCAGCUAAUGUCCAGAAGUGUGUGUGUGUGUGUGUGUGAGAGAGAUCAGCUAAUGUCCAGAAGUGUGUGUGUGUGUGUGUGUGUGUGUGAGAGAGAGAGAUCAGCUAAUGUCCAGAAGUGUGUGUGUGUGUGCACGUGCACGCACGUACUCAGUCACUCAGUCCUGACUCUUUGUGACCCCAUGGACUGCAGCCCACCAGGCUCCUUUGUCCAUGGGAUUUUCCAGGCAAGAAUACUGGAGUGGGUUGCCAUUUUCUUCUCCAGGGGAUCUUUCCAACCCAGGGAUCAAAACCAUGUCUCUGGAGUUUCCUGCCAAUGAAAGUGAAAGUCACUCAGUCGUGUCCAACUCUUUGCAACCCCACAAACUAUACAGUCCAUGGACUUCUCCAGGCCAGAAUACUGGAGUGGGUAGCCUUUCCCUUCUCCAGGGGAUCUUCCCAACCCAGGAAUCAAACUCAGGUCUCCUGCAUUGCAGGCGCAUUCUUUACCAGCUGAGCCACAAGGGAAGCCCAAGAAUACUGGAGUGGGUAGCCUAUGCCAUCUCCUGCAGAUCCUCCUGACCCAGAAAUCUAACCAGGGUCUCCUGCAUUGCAGGCAGAUUCUUUACCAACUGAGAUAAAAUCUGCCACAGUUAUUCCAUUCAAGCAUUGGGGAGGCCAUCGAAUUAAACUGGAAAAAAAAUAGCUGUGCUGAACUGGGGACUGUCUGAACAUCAGUUUGUAUGUAAGUAACAAAUAAGUAGAAGAAAAAGAUUUUCAGCAUCUGCCUUCCUGAUGUCUUUGAGGUCGUUUUUGUGAGCAGGUCCGUAGCAGAGGUGAGCCACCUCCCACAAGGCAGCAGCCUGGUGACUUUCUCUCCUGUAUUUCCAUGGUGACUUCCACGUUUAUAAAAUGUGUCCUUUCUAAAAACACUAACAGCACUUCAUCAAAACCAGCUGUUCCUCUGCACAUCAGUCAGGAACUCUCGGCUGUCACUGGGCAUCAGUGUCCUGGACACAGCUUCCUGUGCACCAGGCGUCAGUGCGUGACCUACUCUCGGCGCAGUCACAUGCCCUCAGGGCUGCAGUGAGUCUGGGGGAGGUGGCAGCUGAAGAACCACCUCACCUAACCUGCUCCCUACGCCUUAUUUGUAUGAUGUCUUUGCAGUUCAAGGGACAGAGUUGAGCGUCCCAGGUGUGGACACUUACUGGGUUUUUCUUGAGAAGUUAAAUUACCUUCACUGCCUUUCAGCCCAAAUUGGGUGAAGGUAAUGGAGAUGGAAUUUAGUAGCAAAGUGAGCUCGAGAAAGGUUUUCCAGGAACGAUACCAGUAUUCUGGGGAUUUCUCUGGUAGUGCGGUUGUUAAGACCCUGCUCUUCUAAGGCAGGGGUGUGCGGCUUCAAUCCCUAGUCAGGGAACUAAGAUUCCACAUGCCCUCGAAGUGCAGACAGAAAAUAAAUAAAUAAAUCAAGGAGAUGGCAAAACUUAAAAAAAAGAGAUACCAAUGUUCUUUUUUUUUUUUUCCAGGUAUAACCACAGAAAAUCAAGGCUGGAAAAACUCUUUAACAAUCAUAUGACCAAAUCCUCCACUGGACACCUGAACGCCUAUGUAACAUCUCUGCCAAGUUGCUGUCCUGUCUCUGCUAGAAUAGCUUUAGGGGCAGGAAGUUCUUUCAACGUCAGUUAUUCCUCCUUAAAAUAGAACAGCCAGGCAGAUGGAGCAGGUAAACAAACUUCACUGAGCACGAUUAUGAAUUGUACCUAAUUUUUCAAGACAGUGAACAGACUGUCUGCUGCUACUCAAAAGAACAAAUCAGAUUUGUUGCAAGCAUCUCAGGCUUUCUGCAACGAUUCAAAAUGGGGAAUUUAGAAGUGUGGGUUUUAUAAAUCACUGCUGAAUAGCUGUGCAUUUGGUGGGGGGGAGGAUCGGAUUAAAAAUCUCUUAGAAGUAAUUAUUGUAAGGCCCCAAAACAAAGGGAAUGUACACGCUUGGUGCUGGAGAAGACUCUUGAGAGUCCCUUGGACUGCAAGGAGAUCAAGUCAAUCAAUCCUAACGGAAAUCAACCCUGAAUAUUCAUUGGAAGGACUGAUGCUGAAGCUCCAAUACUUUGGACACCUGAUGUGAAGAGCCAAUUCAUUGGAAAAGACCCUCAUGCUGAGAGAGAUUGAGGGCAGAAGGGGGAAACAGAGAAUGAGAUGGCUGGAUGGCAUCACUGACUCAAUGGACAGGAGUUUGAGCAAAUUCUGGGAGACAGUGAAGGACAGGGCUGCAGUUCAUGGGGUCGCAAAGAGUUGGACACAACUGAGUGACUGAACAAGAACAUGUUGUAAAAAAAAUUUCCUUUUGAAGAUGCAAUAAGUACCUUGUGCAGUGAGUCUGGGUAUAAGAAUUGGGGAGCUCUAGGGGAUGAGGUGCCUGCUGAUUGCAGUCAGUUGGGCUGCAGGAGGCAGAAGAGGUGAGCAAGGCCACUUACACCCCGCGGGAACUCUUUGGCUGUC